UCGGGAAUUUUGGGCAAUGGGCGAAAGCCUGACCCAGCAACGCCGCGUGAAGGAUGAAGUAUUUCGGUAUGUAAACUUCGUAAGAAUAGGAAGAAUAAAUGACGGUACUAUUUGUAAGGUCCGGCUAACUACGUGCCAGCAGCCGCGGUAAUACGUAGGGACCAAGCGUUGUUCGGAUUUACUGGGCGUAAAGGGCGCGUAGGCGGUUUGUCAAGUCAGUUGUGAAAUCUCCGAGCUUAACUCGGAACGGUCAACUGAUACUGUCAAACUAGAGUACAGAAGGGGCAAUCGGAAUUCUUGGUGUAGUCGGUGAAAUGCGUAGAUAUCAAGAGGAACACCUGAGGCGAAGGCGGGUUGCUGGGCUGAUACUGACGCUGAAGCGCGAAAGCUAGGGUAGCAAACGGGAUUAGAUACCCAGGUAGUCCCUGAGCGGGCUGGCAAGGCGCAU
rnacentral:rRNA from 1 species